CUACGUGCCAGCAGCCGCGGUAAUACGUAGGGUGCGAGCGUUAAUCGGAAUUACUGGGCGUAAAGCGAGCGCAGACGGUUACUUAAGCAGGAUGUGAAAUCCCCGGGCUCAACCUGGGAACUGCGUUCUGAACUGGGUGACUAGAGUGUGUCAGAGGGAGGUAGAAUUCCACGUGUAGCAGUGAAAUGCGUAGAGAUGUGGAGGAAUACCGAUGGCGAAGGCAGCCUCCUGGGAUAACACUGACGUUCAUGCCCGAAAGCGUGGGUAGCAAACAGGAUUAGAUACCCUGGUAGUCCACGCCCUAAACGAUGUCGAUUAGCUGUUGGGCAGCUUGACUGCUUAGUAGCGAAGCUAACGCGUGAAAUCGACCGCCUGGGGAGUACGGUCGCAAGAUUAAAACUCAAAGGAAUUGACGGGGACCCGCACAAGCGGUGGAUGAUGUGGAUUAAUUCGAUGCAACGCGAAGAACCUUACCUGGUCUUGACAU
rnacentral:rRNA from 1 species